GACGAACGCUGGCGGCGUGCUUAACACAUGCAAGUCGAACGGAAAGGCCCUGCUUGCAGGGUACUCGAGUGGCGAACGGGUGAGUAACACGUGGGUGAUCUGCCCUGCACUUCGGGAUAAGCCUGGGAAACUGGGUCUAAUACCGGAUAGGAGCCAUUUUUAGUGUGAUGGUUGGAAAGUUUUUUCGGUGUAGGAUGAGCUCGCGGCCUAUCAGCUUGUUGGUGGGGUAAUGGCCUACCAAGGCGGCGACGGGUAGCCGGCCUGAGAGGGUGGACGGCCACAUUGGGACUGAGAUACGGCCCAGACUCCUACGGGAGGCAGCAGUGGGGAAUAUUGCACAAUGGGCGCAAGCCUGAUGCAGCGACGCCGCGUGGGGGAUGACGGCCUUCGGGUUGUAAACUUCUUUCGCUAGGGACGAAGCUUUUUGUGACGGUACCUAGAUAAGAAGCACCGGCUAACUACGUG
rnacentral:rRNA from 1 species